CAACAUCUCUCGUUGAUGGGCUUCAUCCAACUAUCAUUACAUUCAUCUAUAGUAACUUGAAUUUUGUAAAGAUGAAUCUACAGCAAAACUCAUCCAGUCUCCACCAAGGGAACUUUCUUAAAGGAUCAAAGUAAAGUUUUCCUGUGGAGCCAAAGAGAUAACUUCAGUGGUCAUUGAAAUAUGCAAGGGUGGCAUUUUCGGUGGUGUCAUGAACAUAUGAUGAAAUCUACCAUGGGGUAAUUAUACGGCAUCCCUUGAAGGACGCAGCUCAUAUGGGGAACUCAAUUCAACAUUGCUCAUCCGAAGGCAGAACUGAUAGAUGGAGGCUGCUGAUGAGCAAUGGCAGGCGUGAUCAGAUAUAAUGGGAAGUUCUUCAUGAAGUUCAAGGUCAUUGCGACUGCCAUUAAGAAACCUGAUAUCAUGGUCACUGAGAUCCCCAUUUGAUCUGAGUUUGAAUUAUGAAUGUUUCUUCACUUUCUGAUUGUGGUGUAUAAUUUGUGGUCUAUCCUUUCGUUUGAGUACUUCAUAUGUCAGUAAGUAAUGUGUGAUUAAGUGUAAGAUGGAAAGGGCUACCUUAGUUGCACUUGAUGAACAGAAUAUUCAAUCAUAGAUGUUUUUGUCCCCAGUCCUAUUCCUUGAUGGCAAUGCCAAGGGGGAUAGCGGCUAGUCCGUGACCAAGGCCUUGAUGGCUAUGCCGGAGAGUCCUUGGUUGAGGGGUUACUUAGUAAACCUUCCAAGUUAAAUUGUAGAAAAAUAAUUCAUUUUUAUCCGAAUUUAUUGUGGAAGGACCUAAACUUCUUCCCAAACUAUUCUUAUAAUUUCGGUUUGAAACUUUGACUAAUUCCUCUAGAUUAGUCACAACUUUCAGUCACAAAUAAACAUUUUCAAAGACAUUGAUGUGCCUAUGAUAAAAUCUAGCAUGCAUUUUGGUGUUGUGAACAUGCUAAAUCAGAAUCAAUAUAUACAAGUUUGGACAGUAACAUAUCAAUGUAGUCCUCUUUAUAAUUUGAGCAUUCAUCCAAUAUCACCCUUCAUGCAAAAUCUAAGCGCUUUCUUCCA